rfam:Triticum aestivum genome assembly, contig: Triticum_aestivum_CS42_TGACv1_scaffold_595295_7BS
UUUCUACUCCCUCCGUCCGAAAAUACUUGUCAUCAAAAUGGAUAAAAAUAGAUGUAUCUAAAACUAAAAUACGUCUAGAUACAUUUCCUUUUAUCCAUUUUGAUGACAAGUAUUUCCGAACGGAGGGAGUAUUUG